CCCUGAUGUUAGCGGCGGACGGGUGAGUAACACGUGGGUAACCUGCCUGUAAGACUGGGAUAACUCCGGGAAACCGGGGCUAAUACCGGAUGGUUGUUUGAACCGCAUGGUUCAGACAUAAAAGGUGGCUUCGGCUACCACUUACAGAUGGACCCGCGGCGCAUUAGCUAGUUGGUGAGGUAACGGCUCACCAAGGCGACGAUGCGUAGCCGACCUGAGAGGGUGAUCGGCCACACUGGGACUGAGACACGGCCCAGACUCCUACGGGAGGCAGCAGUAGGGAAUCUUCCGCAAUGGACGAAAGUCUGACGGAGCAACGCCGCGUGAGUGAUGAAGGUUUUCGGAUCGUAAAGCUCUGUUGUUAGGGAAGAACAAGUGCCGUUCAAAUAGGGCGGCACCUUGACGGUACCUAACCAGAAAGCCACGGCUAACUACGUGCCAGCAGCCGCGGUAAUACGUAGGUGGCAAGCGUUGUCCGGAAUUAUUGGGCGUAAAGGGCUCGCAGGCGGUUUCUUAAGUCUGAUGUGAAAGCCCCCGGCUCAACCGGGGAGGGUCAUUGGAAACUGGGGAACUUGAGUGCAGAAGAGGAGAGUGGAAUUCCACGUGUAGCGGUGAAAUGCGUAGAGAUGUGGAGGAACACCAGUGGCGAAGGCGACUCUCUGGUCUGUAACUGACGCUGAGGAGCGAAAGCGUGGGGAGCGAACAGGAUUAGAUACCCUGGUAGUCCACGCCGUAAACGAUGAGUGCUAAGUGUUAGGGGGUUUCCGCCCCUUAGUGCUGCAGCUAACGCAUUAAGCACUCCGCCUGGGGAGUACGGUCGCAAGACUGAAACUCAAAGGAAUUGACGGGGGCCCGCACAAGCGGUGGAGCAUGUGGUUUAAUUCGAAGCAACGCGAAGAACCUUACCAGGUCUUGACAUCCUCUGACAAUCCUAGAGAUAGGACGUCCCCUUCGGGGGCAGAGUGACAGGUGGUGCAUGGUUGUCGUCAGCUCGUGUCGUGAGAUGUUGGGUUAAGUCCCGCAACGAGCGCAACCCUUGAUCUUAGUUGCCAGCAUUCAGUUGGGCACUCUAAGGUGACUGCCGGUGACAA
rnacentral:rRNA from 1 species